rnacentral:tRNA from 1 species
UGCCUGGUGGUGUAAUGGUAGCACAGAGGACUUUGAAUCCUUUAGUCAUGGUUCGAAUCCAUGCCGGGCAGCCA